GACUUAAGAGCCACGUACGUUUCCAGCUGCUUCCUUUCCCCCUUGAAGCUCGAGGUUGGACCCCAGCAGAGGCGGCUUGACGGUGCAUCAGAGGUGAACAAGGGACUUGACGGCGAUGCCCGGAGACUCGUGCUUUAUCCCGGAGUCUCCUCUGAUGCCCCGGCUGGAGCAUGUGAAGAUUGUGAGUUCAGAUUUGUAGUGGUGAAUUUAUGUGUUUUGAGGGGAAUUACGGCUUAGUGGGUCACUUUGUGCAAUGCAAAGGUAGGUACCAGGAUUCUUCUGUAUAUGAAAAAGUUCAGUCGUGUCUUUCUGCCGAAAUGUGCUUUAUUUUGGUGACUGUUCUGGGUGAGUUGAGAGUAUGGUCUGCUCUUACUGGUUGGGAUAUUCAAUAAAUGCCAGUUAGAGCAGGUUGGUUGGUAGUUUGGGGCGGGUCCAACAUAACCUUUCUGAUCUUCUGUCUUGCUGGUCUCUCCGUUACUGAAUGAGGGGUGUUGGAGUCUACAGCUAUAGUAGUGGGUCUGUUUCUCCAUGGGAUUUGAUCAGUUUUUGCCUCAAAUAUUUUGCUGCUCUGCUGUUAUGUGCAUUCAUUUUAAGGAUUGUUAUGUCUUCUUGGAAACUACCUCUUCUAUCAUGAUUUAAUAUCCUUAUUUAUCCUCAGCAAUUUUUCUUGUGAAGUUUUUGUCUUCUAAAUUUGUAGCUAAUCCAGCUUUCUUUUGGUUAGUGGUGCUGUGAGCAUGUCUUUCUCUAGCCCUUGACUUUUAGUCCGUGAACGUUUAUCUUUUAAAGUAGAUUUCUCGUAGAUAGCAUAUAGUUGAGACUAAUUUUAUUAUCCACUCUUAAAGUCUCUAUAUUUUAAUUGGUAUAUUUAGGUCAUUCACAACUAAAGAAAUAAAUGAUAUAGUUGGAUUAACAUCUGCUGUGUUUGCAACUAUUUUCUAUUCAUUGUGCUUGUAUUUUGUUUCUCUUUUUCUCUUCUACCUUAUCUGCCUUCUGUGGCUUUAAUUGAGCACUUUAUGGGUUUGUUUUCUCUCCUCUCUUAGAACAUUCUUUAUGUUUUCUUAAUAAACAUUUUAGGUGUUGUUUAGAAUUUGCAGUGUGAAUUCUCAGUGACCCCAAGUCCAUCCUCAAAUACCCCUUUCCUACUUCACAAACAGUCUCUGAAUCUCAGAGCAAAUGACGCUCAGUAUCUGCCUCCUGUCAUUAAUUUUCUUUAUCCACACACACUGAUUCCCAAUACGAUGUUACUGCUAUUGCUUUAAACAAACUGCUGUCUUUUCGACCAGGUAACAUGAAAGAUAAAGAAUUUCAUUCUCCCUUAAUUUCGUCGUCUUCCAGUGUGCUUCCAUUUUCAGACAGAUGCAAGUUUCUGGCCUGUUUCAAUUCCCUUCUCGCCGAAAGAAUGUAUGUAAGUUAUACUUCAACAUAUUUUUUUUAAAAAAUCAAGUCCACUUCCAUGUUGGGGUGACGUCGAGGGGAGAUGAGUCAAACAGCCACCAUGGAGGGGGUACGGGGAGUCGGAAGGGGGGUUGGGUGCAUUGAGUCCCCGCUGUUUUUUCAGCUAAAGAAUGGUUCACGUGGUGGCGUGUUUCUGGGUGGCUCUGAAAUAUGUCUGAGUUAAACACAAGUUCAUAAGAUGUUUGAAACUGUGGAACUCUUCUCUUUCUGUUUUCCUGUAAGGAAACUCCACCUUAGAAAUGGUGUUGGCUCGAGUGCAGAAACUACUUAAACUCUGAGAAAUCCAUGGGAGCAAAUAUUACACUUUGUUCUGAGAUUCUGAUUCAGUCCACCUAAUUCUAAUUAUCCUGCGAUGAAUGAAUUAAAACCAUCUGAUUGAGUCAUGUUUGUAAAAUGCUCUCAUUAGUAACUCCUCUGAAUGUUUUGAUUGUUUCUUUUUAUAAUCAUCUGGUCAUGUGGCCCCUUUUAAAGCUUAAAUGUCAAACAUAGACGUCAGUGGAGUCACGUGAAAGAUUCGACAUGUGCCAUCGUCAUGCGUCCCGUUCGGAAACGUCUCAUUAGACUGUCCUCGGUGGGCUCCUGCUCGAGAGGCUGCGCGUGGUUUCAGUUAUUUGCUGCAGAACGCAAGCCUAUAAAAUAUAAAACUAUGAUGAAAUGGAAAGAAUGUUUUGAGGCAGCUACAGACAAAACCCUGCCGUCGGGAUGAAAGGCUGGAUGAGUCACGUAGCCGGGGAGAUGUGAUCACCCCGGCCAAGCCAGGCGACCGCGUCUGCGAGGCCGAUUGCUCAACCGGGACGCCUCCCCACUGGCCCAGAGGCCCCGGGUCACAUGGCGGGGCAGGACCCUGGGCAGGCAGGCGCCGCACGUGUCCUAACGGGAUGGGCCGAGCUCCCCAGCGGCAGAGAGCCAGCGCCCCCAGGGAUGCUCGGCCUGGCCGACUUUGCUCCCGAGGAGCUGUCCCCAGAGGAGGUGUGGCGUGUGCGCCUGGGCCGCGAGGGGCAGGCCGGAGCCAGACACACGGUGGUCUCUGGGGCGGGGGUCAGUGCCGCUUUCAUUCAGGCCUCUGGGGUCCAUGGCCUCCAGGAGGAAGUGGAAGGUCAUGGGGGGUCGAGGAGGCGUGUUCGGGAUGACGCCAGGCAUUCAUGCCUUCAGCGCUCACCCCCUGCUGCAAACAGCAAGGGUUUAGAAACAGUGAAAACCGAGGGAGACAAAGGAAGCAGCAGAGCCCAGAGCUUCCCAGUGAGACGGUCACAGCAGGGCCCCCUGCUGGCCGGGGCGGAGGGGGGGCGGGGGUGCCUGGGGCAGAACCGGUGUGGACAUGGGGGGAGGGAAGGCCUAGGUCACGGUUCCGACUGAUGGGACGUGGGCCUGUCCUGUUCUCCCGCCACCUCAGCUGAACACUUGCCCUGGAGUCUGGCCCUCUGCCCAUUCUUGCUGCACUUGGUCUGCACAGGGCCCAGCACCCGGCGGGGUCAGCUUUCUCGGGACAAAAGCCACCAGCCCCCGCUGUGUUAAGUUCAUGGUCACAGGGGUAGAAGGGGCAGCCACGGGACUGCAGCAUGGCGUCCCAUGGCCGGUACCGGGGCAGGUGACCCCUGGAACCGGUGAGUCAUUCUCGAAGUGGCCCCAGGGCGUGUGGGCCCCGGGCAGGAGCAGACGCUGUGGGAUAAACCAAGUGGUGGCUUGGAACCUUCGACGCGCACGCUGAGCAGCAUGAAAGGUCCACGAGAUCCAGGACCUGGCCGACGGGAGGCUGCCCUCAGCCCCUGAGCCCCGAGCAGCUUAGGGGCCGUGGUGUCAGGUGAGCCCAGUCAUUGCGGCCGGAGUCCCAGAGCAGUGAGCUGGGAGCUGAGUUUCCAAGGACGAGUGUGUGGGGACAGGCCAGCAACUCUGGAGAGAAGAGCACAUGUAGGACACGGACAUGGGCCCAGGGCGGGUGGCCUUGACCCCACCCCACGUGCUGAACAGAGGCGGCCGUGCUGGGCAGGGGCCCGGGUCCCCGAGUGCUCAGCAGUGGGGGGACUCCUCCGUGGGCCAGCAGACAGCCCUUUUGGUGGGAGGGUCGGAGGAGACGGAGGCCCUAUGAAGGCGGCCUGUUUUCAGGGCCAGGGAACUUCCCUGUGGGCGCCAGACAAAGGCAGCCUGGGCCCUCCCGACGCCAUCUCUGCUCGGCCCCCGUGGGCGCCCCCGGCCACCCACCGUCACUGGUCACACACACAGGUGUGGUUCGCUUGGUUCAAGAGUGUGUCUUUGUGGGGAAGAGACCUGCCCUUGACCGAGACGUGCCUUCUUCCUGGGCGUGGUCUCCGUCACGGGGUUCAUCUCAUGGGCUUCAGUUUUCUUACCUAGAAAGCGUGAAUCAUCACGCUCAGUCUUAGACUGCGGAGAGGCUCAGGUGUGCCCUGUGUGGCCCAUCAGCGGUGCUGAUUCCUCAGCCAGCGCCGUGGCCUGGGCCCCUUGGGGAAGGGUCUGCGUGUGGGGAAGGGUCCUGCGGGGAAGGCUCUCUCGGGACUCAGGACCCCGUGGAGUCAGACCAGUGGAGGAGGCCGAGCAGUCCUGCUGCCCGAGGUCCCCUCGAGUCCAGGGCGUUUGGGGGGGAGGAUGGCGGCGUCUUUUCCCCGAGCUGAGUCCCAGGCCAGCAGCGUCGGGUCGGGAACGUCCAGUUGGGAGGAUCGGGUCUGGACAGGUGCAUCUGGAGGAGCACAGGUGAGAGGGGAGCUGGUGGGAACAGGUGGUUGUGCAGGAGGGAGGGUCCUGGGUGAGGACGCGGCUGAGGACAGGCCCUGGGACCCACACAGUGACUGUGGUGGGGACAGCAUCUGCCACAGAGCGCUGGGGACAGGCCCUGCGAGAGGAGGAGCCCACCCCAGGGUCCCAUCCACGCGGCCCCCGCCGGAGCCCACCCGUCCUCCAGAUGGAAGGGGUGCGGCCGACUGGGGGGGAUGGACUUCUCCCGUGGGCCUUCCUUGGGGGCUCUGUCGGGCUCCCGCUAAAAACUCGUCCUCAUCUGGCCUGAAAAGGCCAAGCCCGUCCCACCACUGAGGGUUCGGCUCGUCCGUUUCCUGCUUUAGGGACGGAGGGAGGAGCUGUGAUGACGGGAGUGGAGCUCCGGCCCCAGCUUUUGAUUAAAACGUCAGCAUCGCCGGUCGCCGUGCUGUCAGCCAGUCAUGCGUUUCGGCUUCUUCCUCAACGUUCCUUUCACGUGGUCCCCACGGCAGGUUGACAGCCGCGAGCGGGGGAGCCUGUGCCCAAAUCCCAUGCACAGCACUGUCCCGGGAAAGUCGUCACCCGAGCAGCUGAAGACGGCAUCCCGCUUCUAGACCGAGCGCAGGGCGUUCCCAGCGUGUCUGGGGAAGGGCCGUGGGGACGCUGCUGGGAGGAAGCGGAAGCUCCUUACUGCGCCUUGUGAGGGUCCCUUUGCAGAAGUCCUGCCCGUGUCCCAGGAGGAGGUGGCUCCCUUCCAGCCCCAACGCUGGAGCCCAGGGCCAGCCCUGCACCUGUCCUUGGAGCCCUCGGGUGUCCCUCAGCCACCAAAGCAGGAAUUGGCGUUUCUGUGCAGUCACAGUUCAUGCUCUGUGAGGUGCAGCGGACAUGCAUGCACACGGAUGCGCAGCCCUGUGCACACACAGAGCACUCAGUGCACCUGCGCUCAGCAUCACGCAACCUGUGAUGGAAGCGGUUCCUUAGUGACAGGACCUCUGCUUAUGCUUCUGCAUCUCGUUCCCCUAAAUGUCACAAUAAUUUAAAAAUUGUCUCUAGAGCUCACCCUGGCCCUACCUGGAAGUGCCAUCAGCUGGCGUCUCCUGCUCUGCCUCCUGAGUAUGUCCCCUUUUGCUCCUGCAAAAUCCUUCCCCGAGAAUCAGGCCACCACACAGGUGCCGGGUGCUGCUGGACACGGGUUGUCCGAGGUGACUUGGGGCUGAGAUGCGCUGUUUCCUCCUCCUCCGGGGCAGAGCUGCAAGACUGGGAACCUGGGAUGCAGACAGGUGUGCUCGCUGGCUGGGAAGGUCAGAAAGGACAAGCUGCCGUGGGGACGUUUCCUUUCCCGUUUUGCCUGCGGAGCCCCUACUUGUAAUGCGCCACGGACCCGCUAUGGGGACGUUAAGUGUGGCUUAUUCUGAGCGGUUGAUGCCCAGACCCGGGGCACAAUUUCACACGUUCCUCAGGCUCCAGAGCGGGUGUCGGUCCUGCACCCGAGCCUCCCCGGCUCCCCGCCCAGUCCCUCUGGGAGGCAAAGCCAUGUCGUCUCUCUCCUGCACUGUCCUGGAAAUACGCGACCCCAGGUGGGUUUGCUUGUAAAGGCGGUGUGAGGACUGCCUGAAUUCUGGCAGCUGUUUCUGUGUUUUGGACUAAACAGCCCAGGAAGCAAUCAAAUAUCAGGAAAAGGUUUAUCUGACUUGGAAAGGGGAUCCCAGGUCCCCCUCAGGGCCUGGGAGGGAGGAAUGGACCAGCACCCGGAGUUCCCGUCGCGGCUCAGGGUAACGAACCCUACCAGGAUCCAUGAGGAUACGGACUUGAUCCCUGGCCUUGCUCUGUGGGUUACGGAUCUGGCGUUGCCGUGAGCUAUGGUGUAGGUCACAGAUGCGGCUUGGAUUCUGCAGGGCUGUGGCUGUGGUGUAGGCCGCAGUUGCAGCUCUGAUUUGACCCCUAGUCUGAGAUCUUCCAUAUGCCGUGGGUGCAGCCCUAAAAAGACCAAAAAAAAAGAGAGAGAGAGAGAGAGAGAGAGAAAGGGCUACCGCUGAGUGGCUGGCAGCACUGACCUUGGGCCCAUCUUCCUGGAGUGAGACUCGGCCACACUCCCUCCAGCAGCUGCUCUGGGUGCGGCCAGAUACCGGCAUCAGCCUUCCGUCAUUCAUGUGUCUAUGGUUUGUGGACCAGAAAAACAAACAAAUACUUCUUUUUAAUAAAACUCACCCUGCAU
rnacentral:lncRNA from 1 species